rnacentral:rRNA from 1 species
GGUCAAGUGAAGAAGCGCAUACGGUGGAUGCCUUGGCAGUCAGAGGCGAUGAAAGACGUGGUAGCCUGCGAAAAGCUUCGGGGAGUCGGCAAACAGACUUUGAUCCGGAGAUCUCUGAAUGGGGGAACCCAGCCAUCAUAAGAUGGUUAUCACACACUGAAUACAUAGGUGUGUGAGGCGAACCAGGGGAACUGAAACAUCUAAGUACCCUGAGGAAAAGAAAUCAACCGAGAUUCCCUUAGUAGUGGCGAGCGAACGGGGACUAGCCCUUAAGCUUCUUUGAUUUUAGCGGAACGCUCUGGAAAGUGCGGCCAUAGUGGGUGAUAGCCCUGUACGCGAAAAGAUCUUAGAAGUGAAAUCGAGUAGGACGGAGCACGAGAAACUUUGUCUGAACAUGGGGGGACCAUCCUCCAAGGCUAAAUACUACUGACUGACCGAUAGUGAACCAGUACCGUGAGGGAAAGGCGAAAAGAACCCCGGAGAGGGGAGUGAAAUAGAACCUGAAACCGUAUGCGUACAAGCAGUGGGAGCCUACUUUGUUAGGUGACUGCGUACCUUUUGUAUAAUGGGUCAGCGACUUAUUUUCAGUGGCGAGCUUAACCGAAUAGGGGAGGCGUAGCGAAAGCGAGUCUUAAUAGGGCGUCUAGUCGCUGGGAAUAGACCCGAAACCGGGCGAUCUAUCCAUGGGCAGGUUGAAGGUUAGGUAACACUGACUGGAGGACCGAACCGACUACCGUUGAAAAGUUAGCGGAUGACCUGUGGAUCGGAGUGAAAGGCUAAUCAAGCUCGGAGAUAGCUGGUUCUCCUCGAAAGCUAUUUAGGUAGCGCCUCGUGUAUCACUGCUGGGGGUAGAGCACUGUUUCGGCUAGGGGGUCAUCCCGACUUACCAAACCGAUGCAAACUCCGAAUACCAGCAAGUGUCAGCACGGGAGACACACGGCGGGUGCUAACGUCCGUCGUGAAAAGGGAAACAACCCAGACCGUCAGCUAAGGUCCCAAAAUCCUGGUUAAGUGGGAAACGAUGUGGGAAGGCUUAGACAGCUAGGAGGUUGGCUUAGAAGCAGCCAUCCUUUAAAGAAAGCGUAAUAGCUCACUAGUCGAGUCGGCCUGCGCGGAAGAUGUAACGGGGCUCAAACCAGGUACCGAAGCUACGGGUUCAUCGCAAGAUGAGCGGUAGAGGAGCGUUCUGUAAGCCUGUGAAGGUGAGUUGAGAAGCUCGCUGGAGGUAUCAGAAGUGCGAAUGCUGACAUGAGUAACGACAAUGCGAGUGAAAAACUCGCACGCCGAAAGACCAAGGGUUCCUGCGCAACGUUAAUCGACGCAGGGUGAGUCGGUCCCUAAGGCGAGGCUGAAGAGCGUAGUCGAUGGGAAACGGGUUAAUAUUCCCGUACUUCUAGUUACUGCGAUGGGGGGACGGAGAAGGCUAGGCCAGCAAGGCGUUGGUUGUCCUUGUUUAAGGUGGUAGGCAGAGAUCUUAGGUAAAUCCGGGAUCUUAAUGCCGAGAGCUGAUGACGAGCUUUCUUUUAGAAAGCGAAGUGGUUGAUGCCAUGCUUCCAGGAAAAGCCUCUAAGCUUCAGGUAACUAGGAACCGUACCCCAAACCGACACAGGGGGUUGGGUAGAGAAUACCAAGGCGCUUGAGAGAACUCGGGUGAAGGAACUAGGCAAAAUGGCACCGUAACUUCGGGAGAAGGUGCGCCGGUGAGGGUGAAUGACUUGCUCAGUAAGCCCAUGCCGGUCGAAGAUACCAGGCCGCUGCGACUGUUUAUUAAAAACACAGCACUCUGCAAACACGAAAGUGGACGUAUAGGGUGUGACGCCUGCCCGGUGCCGGAAGGUUAAUUGAUGGGGUUAGCGCAAGCGAAGCUCUUGAUCGAAGCCCCGGUAAACGGCGGCCGUAACUAUAACGGUCCUAAGGUAGCGAAAUUCCUUGUCGGGUAAGUUCCGACCUGCACGAAUGGCGUAACGAUGGCGGCGCUGUCUCCACCCGAGACUCAGUGAAAUUGAAAUCGCUGUGAAGAUGCAGUGUAUCCGCGGCUAGACGGAAAGACCCCGUGAACCUUUACUAUAGCUUUGCACUGGACUUUGAGCUUGCUUGUGUAGGAUAGGUGGGAGGCUUUGAAGCGUGGACGCCAGUUCGCGUGGAGCCAUCCUUGAAAUACCACCCUGGCAACCUUGAGGUUCUAACUCUGGUCCGUUAUCCGGAUCGAGGACAGUGUAUGGUGGGUAGUUUGACUGGGGCGGUCUCCUCCUAAAGAGUAAC